rnacentral:tRNA from 1 species
AAUAGAGUGUCUGAUUAAAGUAAUAAAUUGUAAAUUUAUUUAAGGGGGUUUCUCCUCUAUUA